GUCGUUUUAGAAGGAGGGAAAUACUUAUACAAAAACUUUUGGGCUAGUUCAUCCCAAGUGUUUACCGAACCCACUGGGAGGGUGUUAAGCCAAGCCUUAGCUCGGUCAUUUAGUGAAAAUGGGAGCAUUCGGAGGCGGAUGGCGUCAUUCGAUGCUCUGUUGAUCCGAAAAGUAUCACAUAUUAUAACAACCUUAACGUAAACCGACACCCUCAUAGAUUUUUCGACACCCUAAUAUAUCUUAAAAUGUCUCAAUAUGUCUCUAUAUGCACCCCGUAUGUGAAAACCAAGCCUGAAAUACGUUAUAGUUUAUAAAAAUAAAAUAAAAAUCUGAAUUUAGAGCUGAGGCGGGCCGCGUACGAUCCCACCUCAAGCUCACGCGGGCCGUAUGAGAGCACUAACCGGACUCCGCUGAAUUCUUUAGUUCAAGCGGGCCGCGUAAGCUUAAGCUUACAUUGACGCGGGCCGCGCGGACUCAUAAAACGCGGAUACAUCCGGAGCUGACACGUGUCAGCACCGUGUCAAGUCUACUUGGUGACCCAGCCAAGCUACGCGUUGACCCAGCGUUGACGCGGGCCGCGUAAGCUUGGCCUGUUCUUUACGCGGGCCGCGUGGAGACUCGAUUACAGCCCUAUAUAAGAGGGCAACGGGCCUUCAGUCUGUUUCGUUCAUUCCUUUCUUUCAAUCUAAAUUUCUGAAGUAGCGUUUUUAUACCCGGGCAUUAUACCCCCUAAAAUAGUGAGGUUCUGCUACGAUGUAAGUAUUAUAACCCCUGGAGACGUAUUAGAUACGCUGCCCGAUUGAUCUAGGGUUCCGUAACGGCUGUCGUGAUUCUGCCCGACGUAGUCGUUGGAAUGUCGUCUCGGGGAGGAUAUUCACCAGGAAACCCUAAAGGAUAACCUAAAACAGCAAUGUGAGUAAUCCUCUUUUUGUUAAAUGUUUUUACAAAACCUUACAUACUUUUCCAUGCGAAUAACAGUUAUUGAGUAUUUGUAAGAAUACAAUUAUCAUGGGUAUGUUGGGGUUUUGUAUACAAAAUCUGUUACCACCUGGUUAAGGAGUAACAUUUCCACAAGUCAGGUCUGGCAGUACCAACGGGUGAUAAUUGAUAUAACUUGGAAACAAAUGUAAUUGCGGGAUGCGCCCUCAAUACUGUUCACUGUGAAAUAAUUUGAAACUUGAUUAAACUGGGAUUCACUCACCAGUAUUUCCCACUGACAAAAUGUUUUUAAAACGCGUUUCAGGUAACAAAAUGUGAAAGCCAAAUAGAAGCCAGCUGGACAGCACUGCAGGCUUGGAAAAGUGGCAAUAAAGUUACUUAAGAAUAAAAUAGAUGUUUUUAUUAAAUAAAUAGGAUUUAUUCCUAUGAAAUGUGUGUAUUGAAAACUUGGGUUUUACCCAUGUGUUUAAUGUUAUAAAACAUGGUGGUUUACU
rnacentral:lncRNA from 1 species